rnacentral:rRNA from 1 species
AUGGGUGAAAACCUAGAUUAUAAAAAUCGGCGAGCUGCAAUGGAGGAUCCACCACACCAUCAAGGCAACUUGAACCUUAAGGGGUUCGGCGAGCGUUGGGCGUCUCACAAUAAGGCUCCGGAGCCCAACCUUUUUGUGGCGUACGCUUUGGCCCAUAAGGGAUCGUUCCGAUCUGCCACGCCUUACAAUGAGAAUGAGACAUUGCCUACCUACACUAGCAAGACCGCCUACGAUCGAAUGGACAAAUUUAAAUGGAAGGCAAAAGAGAUGAGAGGGCCUGAGUAUGAUGUGACAUCGGAGCCCCUUGACCACGAGGUGGUUAUGAUCUCUGGAGGUGGUAGGAAACAUGGCAAGGAAGUGAUUGGAGGUGGCAUGUUUCCUAGGUCCUCCCGUCGCACUCUCCCUGAGUACAAAGCUCGGUCAGGUAUCUCAACAUCUUCUAUAUGUCAACGCUCAACUCCAGCAAUGGUUGCAAUGGAGUCUUGA